UCCCCAAAUUAAAAACCCUCAUUCCUCUCGCAGAUAAGCCAUCUCAAAACGCGAAGAAGACCAUCUUUGGACGACACCCGUUCCCGUCACCACCACAGCCCUCUCAUUCCCGUCUUCUCACUCUAGUACUAUCGCAACCUCCUCUAUCGAACGACAAACCUCCUCUAUGGUAACCUGUUUAAUCCAUGCCUGUCAUCUCCAAUCCGCCGCAAUCUCUUCAACAUUCAAACUACGAUCGUCACCUCCUCUGUCGGUAAGUCAAUUGUUCCUUUUCUCUUUCUCUCUCUUUGCAAAGUUGUUCUCUUGUCACUACUUCCCUUAACUCCAUGAGUCGUCCGUAAGGUCUGAAAUUUUUGACUUCGUUUGAAUUUCCUCUUUUGGGCAAACACCCCUACGUGAUGUAUGUGAAAUAAAUGUUGGGUUUAUCUUUAACUUAAAUUAGACCAAAAAAUAUUAAGACUUGAAGCUGAAAGAGAGUAAGAAAAAAAGGGAGAAGGUCCUGAAAAUGUCCUUCAUGUGUUUAGGUUUAUGAGAUGUUUAUUUAAGGAAAUUUUGAUUUAGGAUAUAUUCUUUUAUUAUAUGGCACCGCCCCUUGUCUUAAUUUUAUAUAAUACUAUUUGGUGAUGUGUUUUGUUGGUUUUUCUGCUAUGCAUUUUUUCAUGAGAAGAUUGUUCUUUGGUGUUUAGCGGAGCCUAAUAACUUCAUCCUUAGUUGAGAAAGACUUCUCUAACUCUAACUUAGGAGGAGCCUAAAGGUAAGUAUUUGUUGAUGGUAGUAGACACAGUAGACCUUUAUUUAUCAAUUUGUGGGGUCUAAUUGAAUUUCUUUAACUUCAAAUUUUGCUUCAAUCUCUCUAUUUUAGUACUUUUAGAAUACUUACUUUUUGUCAUUGAUGUUAAUUUUGCUUUAUUUUUGUCUUUACACUCUUAAAUUAAUUAACUUUUGGCAUUUCGACUUCUUCGCUAUAUGAAGGCAAGUACUUACUUUUAUGUACUCGAGACUCUUUCUUAUUUUAACUUUUUCCAUUUUAUUUUGAUUUUUAAUUACAAGUUCUUUUGAAAAUUGUUUGUUUAUCUAUUAACGUUGAGAAGAGAAUAAAAUGUUCUCUUCAUUUUUUAUUAUUGAAAUUUUGGUGGUUUUUUUUUGUUUGUUUGUUUUUUGUUUCUUUUUUGCUUCUUUCACUUUGUGGGAGAAGAAAAAGGUAGAAGUAAAACAUUUUAUGUUUUAUUUUAUAUUUUACUAAAAAUACUUUUUAGCAAGAGUAAUACAUAAAUGUAACAAGAGUAAUUUAGUGCAAAAAUAUUUGCGUAUGGAAGGUGUUUGUGAAAAUUCCUGAGAGAUCUGGACUGUGGCUUUGUUUUAUACAAUUUGUUUUAAGCAUAUUUUGACUAUUGAAUUGGAAAUGGACUUUUAGAAUCCAACCCAUUUGCUUUAAUUGCACAAAUUGCUAGUGCAAGGAUUUGACUCCAACUCAUGCAGUCUAAAUAAUGGUUUGUUAUUAUUGUUAGCUUAUUUGUCCAAUUCUAGUGUAAAUUAUUAGAAACUUCCUGCCCUGAGUUUUGUAUUUACCCACUAGCAUUUCAUGAUUCAAUUUUCAGAUCUAUUUGAACUAUCAACCCAGAUUUAUAACUUCAAUGUUGGGUCUUUGGUGAAAGAAAAUGCUAGAACCCAAAUUUGAACUGAACUGUAUAUUUAUUAAUCUCUAAAAAGUUUGGUAGUGUGACCUAUAACAGUUUGACAACGAUUUUAAGGAUUAAGAAAUGGUGGAGUUUGAAAGGAAGAAAUCAAAAUUUCCAAGAAACGAGCAAACAUAGUAAAGAAGAAAAUGGGAAAUGGUGAACUGAACGUGUUGCACUAAAAUCCAAGUUUUGACUGUUUCCAUGUCUUUGCUGCCUUCUCAUAUUUCAAAGGAGUUCGUUUCUUGUUUUUGUUAAUUUUUUUUUUGUCCAUAUUGAUUUGUUUUAUGUUGAGCAAUUAAGUUGAAAUAGCAUUCAAGUAUGUUAAUUAAAAAAUGUGGAUCAUUAUUAUUUAAUUCUUGUGUUUUGUUUACUAUGAUUGUGGAGUUAUAUUCUCUAUUAUUGUGCAAGGACUACUCUGGUCAGUUACUGUUCUAUAUCUUUGCUGAAGACAUGAUACUGGUAAUGGUGGCUUGAACAUUAGACUCGAGAAUGAUUACAACAAUGCCUCAUGGAAAAUCUUCACGUGAAACAGAAGGAAAGCACCUGAUUGGUGAAACAAUGUGUCGAUGCAAUACCUCAAAGUCUUGAGGAAGUCAAGAAAAUCAAGGUAUAUACAUGAGGCAUCCCAAAAUUUUAUAUUCUAAACUAAAACUUUCAUUAGAGAUAUCAAUGAAACCUUCUAACAAGUGACUGUUUCAGCCCAAGAAUAAUCCAACCUUAGGCUUCAAUCAAUAACAGUCCCAAUCUUCAUACACCAACAAACCAAUGUAGUGAAACAUCAGAGAUUGUUGUUAACGAAAACUUGAUUCAGAUUAUCAAAAUAUAGGAACCCAAGAAAGGGUAAAACAUAAUUGAACUUACGACUUCACUAGAACAACAACAAAAUAAUAUUUAAACAUACCAUUUGAAAGCAACAAAUUUAGACAGAGAUAAUAAAUGUAAAGAGAUAAUUCAUUUAGCAAACAUAUUGUUGAGUCUCAUAUACAUGUGACCUACGAUAUACUCAUGGGACAGGAUAUCAAAACACAGUAGAUUUACACCAUAGACUAAAUCUAGAGACACAAAAAGCACUUAGAAA